rnacentral:rRNA from 1 species
UACGUGGGGCGCGAGCGUUGUUCGGAAUUACUGGGCGUAAAGCGCGUGUAGGCGGCCUAUUAUGUCAGGUGUGAAAGCCCUCGGCCUAACCGAGGAAGUGCGCCGGAAACUGGUAGGCUAGAGUACGAGAGAGGAGGACGGAAUUCCCAGUGUAGAGGUGAAAUUCGUAGAUAUUGGGAGGAACACCGGCGGCGAAAGCGGUUCUCUGGAUCGAUACUGACGCUAAGACGCGAAAGCGUGGGGAGCAAACAGG